rnacentral:rRNA from 1 species
AUGCAGACCUUACUACACAUGUUGAAUUCUUCAUCAACAACCUCAAGGAGACAUGAAACCGUCACUACGGAAACUCAAGGGUCCAGAUCGGUCAUUUCCCAAUCGAGUAUGUCGCGACUACGAAGCAAGGAAACCGGCAUGACUGUGGCUUUCACACGUUGGAAUACCUUACAAAGUGGGAAGGCCGACGGGUCCCUGUCGUCACAGCUGCAAUGGUCGUUGAGCUCCGCAAAAUAUACACAUGGAACUGGUUGA